UAGUAGCAGUAGUAGUAGUAGUAGUAGUAGUAAUAGUAGUAGUAGUAGUAUUAGUAGUAAUAGUAGUAGUAGUAGUAGUAUUAGUAGUAAUAGUAGUAGUAGUAGUAGUAAUAGUGGUAGUAGUAGUUAAGGCACAGGUAGUACGAGGAAAGCAAAGAGUUAAAUGUCAAAGCCUCCCCGCAGCAACAACAGCAAUAAUAGUAACAGUAACAGCAGCAAAGUAGCUGGGUAAGCAAUAGACAAGUAAAGCAGAAGUAAGGAAGGAAGGCAGGCAAGCAAGCAGGCAGGCAGGCAGGCAGGGAGGUAGACAAGCUAAGCAAGCAAGUAGCGAACGCAUAGAGAGUGCCAUGUUCGAUGAAUAUAAAAAAUUCGAGACCUUGUUCGACUGCAUCUGGGUCAUACAGCGCGUUCGUUCGUAGUCUAACGACGACGCAAGACGUUCUAAGUGGAAAAUGAGUGGCUGCUCACUUGUGCUCAUAAGGUUAAACGAGUGUGGUGCAAGCAGUUCUCGGUGUAACGAUGUUAACGAUGAUCGCAAAGGAGAAGGCAUCUCCAAGUGGAAAGACGUUUAUUGUUCGGUGACAUUGGCAAUGUAACGAACGGAGAUGCGUCGUAAAAUUUUUUGGGAAGAACAAAUUGAAAUUCGAUAAAAAAGGCGAUUGAUUAAAAUGAAAAAAAUAACACGAGCAAAAUAAAAUAUCAUCGUAUUUCAAUACUAAGUGACAACGCGUUGUGAAAUCGCUUUUAUAUCCAUUUAAAUGUCCAAGUGAAAAUCCCGAUCGUAUCGAACAUAAAAAUCUAAAUAUCUAACAUUGUCCUUAGAAACGAACGAACAGGCUUGAGCUCGCUCAUCGUUCUACGUCGAUCGAAGAUAAUUUAAAUGAUCAUUACUUUACGAGGUAGAAAUAUCGUUGCUAGAAGGUGAAUCUAUUCGAUCGACUCUCCGUAUAGUCUAUCUCUCCUUCCACUGGUUGGAUUUCUUACUUAUUAUUCGUCAGAUUGUGUAACGUUCUCUACAAUAGUGCCAACAUAAGGACCAAUCCGUCUCUGGCUUGCGAAGAGAACACGUGAGAAUUCGAAACAAACGGAAAAGGAAAAUCGCGUUCACAAAAGUGUGUCAAAGGUCACACGCAUGAUACUUAUUGUCUAUUCCUUAAUCGUGAUCAUCGUGGGCGCACACUACAAAGUCCUUCGACUGUAAUAUCCAUGUCUCUUGAACACAACGCGCACAGGUGAAACGCUCCAUGUAAAGACGAGAGUGAUAGCUUAUUGUGAUGGAAACAAUGGACACACAGUGAUCGGGAAUUUACAGCUACCUACUCGUUUAUUGCACAUACUAUGUAUUCUACGCUAUAUGUAUACCUACCUGUUCCUCGAUGCUGAAAUAGUGAAAAUCUUAGCCGGUUGUAAAGCAACUCGCGUUCCAUUUUACGAUAUAUCUUCGAUCGAAUAUUCCUCAUCGUUUCGAUGUUAAAAGAAAGAAAAAGUAGUUCGAGUAGAACGUGAACGAUGACGACAAUCGGAAAUCAAUGAAAUCGUUAAUAUUCUUUACCGAUAAUAAAAUUGUCAGACUUGUCGAUGA